AGAACAUACACUCUGAUUGCUUGGAUCUGGCCCUUGAGUGCAGUUUCGACCCUGCCAGAUGUGUUUAUUGUUUAUUGGCAGACACAGGAAAGUAAAACGGUCAUUUUCAAGUCAAGUGAGAAAAGCAGGCGACAUGUGUUGCGAUCAUCAUUUCCGAUAACGGAGCUCUCGGUCCUGACUCGUCGUGGCAGAGCAUCAAACUGUGUUAGCAUCAUCCUCUCUCCUCUUUGAGGCUCGGACCAACAUCCAUCAGCUCGGCUCCACGGCCUCUUCCUGCAGUCGCCACAGGUGUGAGCUGUGGAGGAAUCACCUGCAGUUAAAGGGUGAGAGAAGGUCCUGCUUCACAUCCAGCUGCAGGAGAGGACGAGGCCUCAGACCCAGGGAGCAGACCUCAGCUACUUCCUGUUUGUCUGUGCGGCGGGAGGACGGUGUUCAACAUUAGAGAGGGACGAGCGGACGAAGACGGACUGACCU